UUCCGGUCGAGUUGUGGACAGUUUUACUCAUGAUAUACGUAAAAAAAAUAAUAGUUGGAGGGAUAAAUAAUUGAAACGCCAGGAACAACCAAGGCACGCAUUUUAAAAAAAAGCAGACCUUCCAUUGCGAUUUCUAAAAAUUUACAUGAGUUUUUCAACAUGGAAAAACGUAAAAAAGAUAUGAGGGUUUAAGAUCCAUUGAAAACAUUACUAAGGAAACAUACAUUUGUUCCCGUCAUUUUCUUGGGGAAAGUGGUCCUACUGAAGAAAUUCCGGAUCCAAUUCCUCUGAUUAACAGAAAAAUGAACAAGAGAUGUGCAGCUCCGAAACGUACAUCUCUUGCUGAGAAAUAUGUAAAGAUAUCUCCACGACAACACCUUUAAACAAAAAAUUCCUCAAUAGAUGCUGAUGAGAUGCUCAUUGACAAGGAGUCCUCUGGAGACCACUAUGUAGAAAAGACGAUGCAGAGAAACGUAGUCUGGGGAACGCAUGUGGCCGAGGCAAAUGAUGGAAGAACGUGAAGAUGGAAGAACUCCGAAGUCAUGCACCCAGCCCAGUAUGCGCGCGCACUCCCCUCAAAGUAGCGGUAUGCGCAGUAGAUUUGAACUGUGCAUGGAAUUUCGCAGAGGAGUUCGAAUUUCGUGAAUGUUUUAACUGAGAAGAAAGCCGGAAAAAAAAUACAGGAGUAAAUGACACAAUUAAAAAAAAGAAGUGUCACAAGAUUAUUAGGGCUAAUAACAUUUUGAUUGUCGUAAAUAAAAAUAAGAAUACUUAUUAUAUGUAUAUAAUUAAUUAAGUACACGGCGGGAAACUUAUUGUCUUAUUAUUCUUGGUAUGCAAGCGAUGCACGUGUGUCUGCCAGUAAAAUUAUUCAUUUACCUGGAAGUCUAUAGUAGUUACCAAUGUGUCAUAUAAAAUUGGAAUGUGCACAGAGUAUUAAAAUUACAAUGAGCCAUGAUGAAUCAGCAAAUUUUUGUAAAAUUGUAGAAAACUACAAAAUUUUCGAGUUAUUUUUCUUCAUUGUCGCUAAAUUGACUAUAUGGGUGAUUCUCUGCAAAUUGUGAUUUUUUACCUCACACAUUUUUCAAAAACUGAAUGUCUGUAGAGUAAUUUUUUCAUGUUUCUAUAUGUCAUAAUGGUCCAGAAGUAUAGUCCUAGCACCACUCUACUACAACUUUAAAAGAUUCAGAGUAAUAGAGUCUUACGGAUUUCUUACUGCCACGGUGGUGACCAAACUUAACAAGUCUUUGUAUUUCAAUCAAGGAAUUUAAUUUUUCGAUAAUAGAACAAGUUUAUUGAUUUAUUUGACAUCUUUCUAGUAUCAUAUAUUCAUUUGUAGAGAUCACUUUAGGUUUUUUUCAACAAUCAAUUCUGACACAGCACAGGGAUAUUCAGUGGUUGUUGAUAACCCACCUGGGUAUUACUCUGAGUUUGCACCAUUUAAACACCUAAAACAUUGUUCAAAAUACCUUAGUGAUGAUACAACUUCCCUCCCACACGUUCAUCUAUGAUAUGCCACGGUUGUGACAGCCACGGUUGUGACAUUCUCUGUUAAAACCUAAUCACACUUCCCGCCAGCUUUGAAUUGAAAGCUCUCUCAAGAUGAUGAGUUUCAGGCAAUGGAAUGUUACUUUUUUAAUGAAAAAAAUUAGCUAAGAAAUUACACGACAUGAAACAAUCAUGAGACCAUGGUAGUGACAGAAUAAUUGGUGACUUAUCUUUUUCAUCUCUCGAGUAGUCUUUCCUGGAUGUGCACAUGUGUCUAGUUAAUUUUUACUGGUGUAAAUACUGGGCCUUACCCCUUCAUUACAGAAUUUUGGUACGUGAGUCAUGUGUAAACAUCGGAAAUGGCGCGACGACAGUUGAAUUCAAAUUUUUCAAAAUAGUACUAUAAUUGUGAGACAAAAUUUUGAUCUUCCUGGUGAGCGUAAAACAGUUAUUCCUCUGAAAAUUGCUCAUGAAAGUAUACUUAGUCACAUCCCUUAUUAUCUAUGUUCAGGAAAUUUUCUUUGAGCUACUUAUUUACUCGGUUUCAUUGACAAAAUCUCGAAUUUCAUACAAAGGACAUGCCACGGUAGUGACAUUUAGGGUGGUUUCAGCUCUCUAGAGCUAAAUAAACGGUCAGGGAAGGCAUGUAUUGCAUGAAAAUGGUGGAAUGUCAUAGUGUCUCCCGACAUCCGGAGAAAUUUUAAUAUUAUUUCAUCAUUUUGAGAUUGGAAAAGCUGAAGGACAAGAAAAUAACAAUUUGUAGAUAAUCGCCCAUAUGUUUCCUAGAUUUAAUUUGAGAUACACUGGCCUCAAAGGAAGCAAACUCCUUGAUUCUUAUCAAUGAAUUAUUUACAUAAAAUUGUCGUGCAUUUUUUAUAAUUGAUGACACCGAUCAAUACAUAAAUAUCAUAUGAAACUAAAAAAUUACAGAUUCAUCUCAUCAUGAAAAUGAAAGAAAUGGACAGAUAAUGGAAAGACAAGACUGAAAAAAAAAUAACCAAAGGAAAAGUUUUUGUAGAGGAUUUCUCUUGCCCUGAAUCCAGAAUCAUUUAGGAUUGCAAUUGGAAGGAAUCUCGGCAAUUUAUAUGGAGAACCAAAAAUUAAGCUAUGAUUCAAAUGUCAAUGACCGCUUCAAUUU